CACGUAGGGCGCGAGCGUUGUCCGGAAUUAUUGGGCGUAAAGAGCUCGUAGGCGGCCUGUUGCGUCCGCUGUGAAAGCCCGGGGCUUAACCCCGGGUCGCAGUGGAUACGGGCAGGCUAGAGGUAGGUAGGGGAGAAUGGAAUUCCCGGUGUAGCGGUGAAAUGCGCAGAUAUCGGGAGGAACACCGGUGGCGAAGGCGGGUCUCUGGGCCGAUACUGACGCUGAGGAGCGAAAGCGUGGGGAGCGAACAGG
rnacentral:rRNA from 1 species